AACGAACGCUGGCGGCAGGCCUAAAACAUGCAAGUCGAACGAACCUUCGGGUUAGUGGCGCACGGGUGAGUAACGCGUGGGAAUAUCCCCUUCACUGCGGAACAACGUCGGGAAACUGACGCUAAUACCGCAUAAUGACUCCGGUCCAAAGAUUUAUCGGUGAAGGAUUAGCCCGCGUUAGAUUAGCUAGUUGGCGAGGUAACGGCUCACCAAGGCGACGAUCUAUAGGGGGUCUGAGAGGAUGAUCCCCCACACUGGAACUGAGACACGGUCCAGACUCCUACGGGAGGCAGCAGUUAGGAAUAUCGGACAAUGGGGGCAACCCUGAUCCAGCCAUGCCGCGUGUGUGAAGAAGGCCUUAGGGUUGUAAAGCACUUUCGGCUGUGAAGAUAAUGACAGUAGCAGAAGAAGAAGCUCCGGCUAAAUUCGUGCCAGCAGCCGCCGUAAUAC
rnacentral:rRNA from 1 species